rnacentral:rRNA from 1 species
UACGGAGGGGGCUAGCGUUGUUCGGAAUUACUGGGCGUAAAGCGCACGUAGGCGGACUGUUAAGUCGGGGGUGAAAUCCUUGGGCUCAACCUCAGAAUUGCCUCCGAUACUGGCAGUCUCGAGUGCGGGAGAGGUGAGUGGAAUUCCCAGUGUAGAGGUGAAAUUCGUAGAUAUUGGGAAGAACACCAGUGGCGAAGGCGGCUCACUGGCCCGUAACUGACGCUGAGGUGCGAAAGCGUGGGGAGCAAACAGG